GUGCUCGCUUUGGCAGCACAUAGACUAAAGUUGGAACGAUACAGAGAAGAUUAGCAUGGCCCCUGUGCAAGGAUGACACGAAAAAGAAAUAAAUCAAUCUUUA